rnacentral:rRNA from 2 species
UACGGAGGAUGCAAGCGUUAUCCGGAUUUACUGGGUUUAAAGGGUGCGCAGGCGGAACGAUCAGUCAGUGGUGAAAUCUCCCGGCUUAACCGGAAAACUGCCAUUGAUACUAUCGUUCUUGAGUCCAGUUGAAGUAGGCGGAAUGUAGCAUGUAGCGGUGAAAUGCUUAGAUAUGCUACAGAACACCGAUAGCGAAGGCAGCUUACUAAACUGAAACUGACGCUCAGGCACGAAAGCGUGGGUAGCAAAC